rnacentral:lncRNA from 1 species
GCCGAGCGUGGAGGCGGGUUGGGAACCGAUGGCGGCGGGGUGACAGAAUUGGCUGAAGUGAGCCAUGAAGGGCUAAACUGAGCCACUGGGAUCGCUACAGGAGGAAUCAGAGGCAGUGCACGUGGACACCACUCCAGCAGCAGCCCAGAAUGGGAACUGGGACCCAGAGGAGCAGCUGCUUCUCUGCUCAUUUCCUGCUUUUCGAGAAAGUGCUCUCAGUAGUUCUGGAAAGAAUGCAAAAUAACAUCUUGCAUCCUCCAGCUACCUCAAUCUGCUUGAAACUCCCUCAGCUGGGUGAUAAAGGCUGUUUCUCUGCCUUCGUUCGACCAACAUCCUUAAACCUCUGCAACCUACUUCUACUGCCAGCCUGUGUCACUACUCCAUCCAGAUGGCAAUAAAAUCUUUUAGGGUGGAAAAAUUGUGUGCUACCAAAGCAAACGUCUGCCCAUGCUCCCUGCAAUCACAGUGCUGCCUCUGGAACUCAUGUCCCCUUCCUCCCUCUGUGAUGUUUUCCUCAUUCAGCAGUCAGGAAAGACCUGUCCUGCUCAGGUUCCACGUCCUUCACCUCUGCAUGCCAGGUGGGGGCAGCAGCCUUCAAACAAGCAGAUGGUGCUCACCUUCCUAUGGAUAUGGGUGGGAAGGAGGGAAGUAGGGCUCUGGACCUCUUGAAUGAGUUCUGAGAUAUAUGUGCUAUAGAGAGGUCUGACCUCAAGCAGGGUAGGUACAAGCUUGUUGGCUGUGCUUUUCAGCCCUGCAGAUGUUACAUCUUUCCCAAAGCAGGACAGAAAAAGCAGGGAGGAAUGAAUGAUGAAAUCCUUUAGUAAAAAAUGUUGUUUCUCUGUCCCCUCAGCCAUUCCCAUCUUAUUUGAGGUUAUUACUGCAACAUUAUUUAUGCUUCAAUCACAGGAAUUUUUUCAUGGUCAUGAAUAGCUUUGUGAACCUAAGAAAAGACACAGAAGGAGCCAUUUUUUCUCUGUUUGAAGUCCUAAUGCACUUGAAGUUUCUGUAAUAAAACUGUCAGUCCAUAAAGUUGGGCUGCUAAGACCACAGAUAAAAUGUAGUUAUUCUAAAGCAACUGAGCUCCUUUGAAAAGCAAUGAUAGUUUCGAGGAACUCGGCGCUAUUGAAAAGGCUUUCAGUUUAAGCCUGAAUUUUCCAGAGGAAUAAUGAACAGUAAAUUUCACUGACUUAAUUUUCAAAUGCCCAUGUUGAAAUAGCCUUAGGACUCUGAUCACUCCUGCUGCCAGCUCUUAGACAUCCCGGCAGUGAAAUUCAACAGCCUCAGUCACAGAUGCUGAAUCACUGCAUGUUGCAGGUCUGUGUUUCCCAGCAAAAUGGCCGUGAUUUUAGGUUAUCCUGCAAAGCUGGUUUGAUAAACAGCAUCGUCCUUCAGCAGGACUCUGGAUGUCCAGUACUGUGAGCAGUUGUAAACGAAAGAAGCAGCGCUCCCAUGAUGACUUUUAGCUCUUUAGAUAGCAGGAUUAAGCAGGUAGAUGUGGCUUUAGACAUCCAUGUUUGGACCUCAUGUCAAAGACAAAAGCAUUAUAAAAAUGGAUUUGAUGGGACUGCAUGGCUGCCCAUCAUUACCAGCACACUUUUGGUUUCUCUCUGCUGGACUGAGCUUUAAACGUACAUCAAAAAGAAUUGAGAAGUUGAAAUAAGCCACUUACAACUCUCAAAAGAACCAUUUUUAAACACAGAAGCAUUCGGAGAACAAAACCUCCUUUUCAGCACUCCUGGCUCAUUCCUGGGGGCCAUUUCUUACAGUUCUGCUAAAUCAGUUGAGAAAGUCACCAAAGCGUAGCAACAUUGCAGUGUUCCUAUGAAAAAAAAAGGCACCAAAGAUCCUUGAGAAAACCCCAAACAGCGCAAAAAGCAAGAACAAAUGUUUUCUAUAUGUGGUAUUGUUAAAACUCCCAAGUGGCAUAAAUAUAAUAAACAAUAGUGAAGAAUGGGAUAUUUCUGUUUGUUUCCACACACUUGAGAUGACCUAACCUACCUCAGGCAUGGCUCCACUUUGUGACUUGUGAGUUAUUUGAUCGCUCCAAACUUGUGAAAAUAAACACUAUUAUUCUACUGUUUGACAUUGUGCAUUCUUUUGUUCUCUGCAAAUAGACUGAGAACUAUCAAAUGAAAGUAAAUCAUAAUGAAACGCAAAUCAAAAUAAAAGCUGCAGAUAAAGGAAAAACAGCACAUUGGAAAAAGAAAUG